rnacentral:rRNA from 1 species
GACGAACGCUGGCGGCGUGCUUAACACAUGCAAGUCGAACGGAAAGGCCCGCUUGCGGGUACUCGAGUGGCGAACGGGUGAGUAACACGUGGGUAACCUGCCCUUGACUUCGGGAUAACAGUUGGAAACAGCUGCUAAUACCGGAUAUCACUGCUACGGGCAUCCGUGGUGGUUGAAAGUUUUUUCGGUCAAGGAUGGGCCCGCGGCCUAUCAGCUUGUUGGUGGGGUAAUGGCCUACCAAGGCGACGACGGGUAGCCGGCCUGAGAGGGCGACCGGCCACACUGGGACUGAGACACGGCCCAGACUCCUACGGGAGGCAGCAGUGGGGAAUAUUGCGCAAUGGGCGGAAGCCUGACGCAGCGACGCCGCGUGAGGGAUGAAGGCCUUCGGGUUGUAAACCUCUUUCAGCAGGAACGAACAAUGACGGUACCUGCAGAAGAAGCACCGGCUAACUACGUGCCAGCCGCCGCGGUAAGAC